rnacentral:lncRNA from 1 species
GGGCAACCAGGGCGACCGCCCAGGGCCCAAAAAAUUUAGGGGCCCAAAAUUUUUAUAAUUUAUGUAUUGUUAUUAGUAUAUAUCAGUCCUGUAAGCCUAUUCUAUCCUAAGUGACUACGUCCUAUUCUAUCCUAAGUGACUACGUCCGUACCUAAACUAAUGGUACUAUCAAUCAUGCACUAACAGAUAAAUGUCAUCAAACAUUUGUUUAAUCUUCUUUUUUUACAUCCUGUACACUUUAUCGUGAAACUUGAUUAUUUUAUAGUUAUUUUCUUACGGAAGUUGACUAAAAUUUGAGUUUACAUUGCUACAAGGUCAUAUUUUAUCAAAUUUAGUGAAGUAAAAAAAAUAGGGUCCAUUUUCUUCUUUCGCCCCUGGGC